UCAUCUUGGCAUCAUGUUCUCCUCCUCCACCAGUCUUACACACUGCUUUUGGAUAACUUUAUGCUGCUUUACUCCUGGCGCAAAAAUAAUUCAAGCAGUUCAGUUUGGUGGUUUGAUGGUUUGUGAUCAUCCAUCUUCCUCUUGAUUAUAUUUUAGAGUAUUUUAAAUUGGUAAAAUCAAAGAAACUCAUCAUUUUUAAGUGGUAUCUUAUUUUUUUCAGAGCUGUGUAUAUAUAAAUAUAAAUAUAUAUUUAAUACUCAGGGUGGCUAAUAGUAUGAAACAUGCUUUAAGGAAACACCUACAGUAAAAUAUUAAAUACUAAUUUUUUAUGUUUAGAUUAGGUUCUGUUCUUGGCAGCAGGGUUCUGGUUCAGACCCUUGUUUUUCUCCUCCUUUUUGGGUCCGUAAUGGAAAAGAGGAGAAAAGACACACAGUCAGUCAGUCAGUGCACCCAAACCUUUUUUUUUUUUUUUUUUGCAUAAUUUAUUUUUUUUUGUUCCUUGUGUUUAUUUAAUAAAAAAAGCAGCUUGAGUUUGCUAGUUAGGAAAGAUGUGGACAGAAGAAAAUCCAUAAGUUUAUUCUGUAGCUUCUUCCUGUAACAGGGAUGAAUGUUUUUCCACCUGUUUUAUGGAUUUAUUAUUUUUUUAUCUUAACAUUUGAAAAUAAAGUACUUCAUGUCUGUUUAUCUUGAGCAAUGUAAAUGGUUAUUGUGAUUCAAUUUACAUUUGAAACUUGUCAAGUAAUGUGUAUGGUUUUUAAGAAUAAAAAAAUUGAUAUUUAGCCUAA